UUAAGUUCAGCGGGUAUCCCUACCUGAUCCGAGGUCAACCUGAAAAAAUACAAGGUUUAACGGCAAUGAGGUUACCCCAAGCUUAUAAGACGUUCGAUUUAACUCUACUACGCCCGAAGUUGGUGAAACCCCGCCGAGGUCUUCGAGGCACGCCCGCCUUUCGACGGACGAGUGCCCAAUACCAAGCAGUGCUUGAGUGG
rnacentral:misc_RNA from 1 species